rnacentral:lncRNA from 1 species
ACAUUCCCCUAUAUUUUACCCUUAGUUAGACACCAGUUAAUUGUCUAUCUUGAUACACAAAAUAAGAGGAGAAUGACCUAGAAGAAGAGAUCGAAGUGUUACACAAGAUUGAACUAAUUGGGUACGCCCAAAGUUAAUCAACAUCGCAGCUUAACUAGUGGCUAAUGACACAUGAAUUUGGUCACUCAUCGUCGUGAAAUCAACCCUAAUCAUUUCCCGCAGUCGUCACCAUCACAUCCAGACACCGACAUCGCCGCCGUUGUCAUUCCCUCACGAGGACACGGUUGAAUAGCACAGCA